CCUACGGGGGGCAGCAGUGGGGUAUAUUGGACAAUGGGGGCAACCCUGAUCCAGCCAUGCCGCGUGUGUGAAGAAGGCCCUCGGGUUGUAAAGCACUUUCAGUGAGGAAGAACGCCUGGUGGUUAAUACCCAUCAGGAAAGACAUCACUCACAGAAGAAGCACCGGCUAACUCCGUGCCAGCAGCCGCGGUAAUACGGAGGGUGCGAGCGUUAAUCGGAAUUACUGGGCGUAAAGCGCGCGUAGGUGGCUUGAUAAGCCGGUUGUGAAAGCCCCGGGCUCAACCUGGGAACGGCAUCCGGAACUGUCAAGCUAGAGUGCAGGAGAGGAAGGUAGAAUUCCCGGUGUAGCGGUGAAAUGCGUAGAGAUCGGGAGGAAUACCAGUGGCGAAGGCGGCCUUCUGGAUUGACACUGACACUGAGGUGCGAAAGCGUGGGUAGCAAACAGGAUUAGAUACCCGGGUAGUC
rnacentral:rRNA from 1 species